UGGAGAACUUGAGUGCAGAAGAGAAGAGCGGAAUUCCACGUGUAGCGGUGAAAUGCAUAGAGAUGUGGAGGAACACCAGUGGCGAAGGCGGCUCUUUGGUCUGUAACUGACGCUGAGGCGCGAAAGCGUGGGGAGCGAACAGGAUUAGAUACCCUGGUAGUCCACGCCGUAAACGAUGAGUGCUAAGUGUUAGAGGGUUUCCGCCCUUUAGUGCUGCAGCAAACGCAUUAAGCACUCCGCCUGGGGAGUACGGCCGCAAGGCUGAAACUCAAAGGAAUUGACGGGGGCCCGCACAAGCGGUGGAGCAUGUGGUUUAAUUCGAAGCAACGCGAAGAACCUUACCAGGUCUUGACAUCCUUAUGCCUGCCCUAGAGAUAGGGAGUUCCCUUCGGGGACAUAAGUGACAGGUGGUGCAUGGUUGUCGUCAGCUCGUGUCGUGAGAUGUUGGGUUAAGUCCCGCAACGAGCGCAACCCUUGAAAUUAGUUGCCAGCAUUUAGUUGGGCACUCUAAUUUGACUGCCGGUGACAAACCGGAGGAAGGUGGGGAUGACGUCAAAUCAUCAUGCCCCUUAUGACCUGGGCUACACACGUGCUACAAUGGAUGGUACAGAGGGCUGCGAGACCGCGAGGUUUAGCCAAUCCCUUAAAACCAUUCUCAGUUCGGAUUGCAGGCUGCAACUCGCCUGCAUGAAGCCGGAAUCGCUAGUAAUCGCGGAUCAGCAUGCCGCGG
rnacentral:rRNA from 1 species